rnacentral:rRNA from 1 species
GGCGCGAUUUAUUUGAUGAAAGCCCGGUCACCCGGAGGUCUUGAUACUGGGAACUGAUUCAGAGGGGAAGCGAUUCCACGGAGCGUGAUUGGGAGGAUGGAGAGCACCAGUGGCGAGGGCGACUCUCUGGUCGUAACCGACGGUGAGAGUGAAAGCGUGGGAGCGACCUGGAUAAGAUGCCUGGUAGUCCAUGCAGUAAACGAUGAGUGUUAAGUGGAGGGGGUCUCCGCCCUUUAGCGCUGCAGUUAACGCAUUAAGCACUCCGCCUGGGGAGUACGGUCGCAAGAUUGAAAUUCAAAGGAAUAGACGGGGGCCCGCACAAGCGGUGGAGCAUGUGGUUUAAUUCGAAGCAACGCGAAGAACCUCACCAGGUCUUGACAUCCUCUGACAAUCCGAGAGAUAGGACGUCCCCUUCGGGGGCAGAGUGACAGGUGGUGCAUGGUGUGUCUGUCAGCUCGUGUCGUGAGAUGUUGGGUUAAGUCCCGCAACGAGCGCAACCCGUGAUUUUAGUAGCCAGCAUUCAGUUGGGCACUAUAAGGUGACCGCCGGUGACAAACCGGAGGAAGGUGGGGAUGACGUCAAAUCAUCAUGCCCCUUAUGACAUGGGGUACACACAUGCUACAAUGGACAGAACAAAGGGCAGCGAAACCGCGAGGUUAAGCCAAUCCCACAAAUCUGUUGUCAGUUCGGAUCGCAGUCUGCAACUAGACAUGCGUGAAGCAGGAAUCGCCCGUAAUCGCGGAUCAGCAUGCCGCGGUGGAAAA